ACAAACUGCUUGCUGCUGCUAACUGGAGACGAGAACAGAAGAAACAGAAGAGAAGAAAAUGCUAGUGCGGGCGUGCGGCUGGAGACGAGAACGAGACGAGGUUGGGCUGCUCUAAUCGAUUAAUUGACUUCAACUCUUCAAGAUUACGCUACGGAGUCCAUAAUUGAAGAAUUCAAAAAUCUUAAAGGAAGACGAGCGGAACUAUAAUUCUUCAUCCAGGAGAACCGGCCACCGGGGAAGAGGAGAUAUUUGGUCGUGGUUUUGACGUUUCAGGUGGUGAUGAGAGUCGUCGGUGAUUAAGAUGUCAGAAAAAUGAACAAAACCAGAUCACAAAAACCCGAUUUAGAUACCCGGAAGACGACGCCGGGUUUGCAAGUGUGUUUUUGUUUGGAUCUAGGUUUUCAAGUGUGUAUAUGCUUCGUGAUUAUGUUUAUAAGAUAUAUGGAGACAUGAGUUUUGGUGUCAUGGAGAGCAAGAUUAAUCCAUUUUUUUUUGAACGGCAAGAUUAAUCCAUUUCU